GUGCAAUAUUCCUUGAGACCCCAGGCAAGGGUGAAAUUAUUCGCCAUCUUCCCUGUUUGCACAAAUUUCACAAAGAUUGUAUUGAUCCUUGGCUCCAUAGGAAAACAUCAUGCCCGGUGUGCAAGUCAUCUAUCACCUAAUUUACCGCUGGUUUUAGAUGGAUAAUUUCUUAUUCUACUACAGAAUGUUGGCUAUCCCAUUUUGGUCUGAGGUCCUAAUGAAGUCUGCCAAACCAGUGGCAAGUCUGAAGGCCGCAAUUUUUUCCCUAUGACAGAUUAGUUACAAAUAUACCUGGUUGAUGGGGCUACACAGGUAUAUACUGGGAUUUAGACUUAGUAAAUUUGUAUCACACUAUUAAGGGCCUGCUUGCUUUUCUACUUUUUGGAGGCAUGCUACUGUUCGCAUAUAAUAUCUUGUGAUGCCAAGUGCAGUUUCAUGAAA